CCUACGGGAGGCAGCAGUGGGGAAUAUUGCGCAAUGGGCGAAAGCCUGACGCAGCGACGCCGCGUGAGGGAUGAAGGUCUUCGGAUCGUAAACCUCUGUCAGCAGGGAAGAACGGUCACUGUGCUAAUCAGCAGUGAAUUGACGGUACCUGCAAAGGAAGCACCGGCUAACUCCGUGCCAGCAGCCGCGGUAAUACGGAGGGUGCGAGCGUUAAUCGGAAUUACUGGGCGUAAAGCGCUCGUAGGCGGUAUGUCAAGUCAAGGGUGAAAUCCCCGCGCUCAACGUGGGAACUGCCUUUGAAACUGGUAAACUGGAGUGUGUGAGAGGAUAGUGGAAUUCCAGGUGUAGGAGUGAAAGCCGUAGAUAUCUGGAGGAACAUCAGUGGCGAAGGCGACUAUCUGGCACAUAACUGACGCUGAGGAGCGAAAGCGUGGGUAGCAAACAGGAUUAGAUACCCCAGUAGUC
rnacentral:rRNA from 1 species